rnacentral:rRNA from 1 species
UACGUAGGGUGCAAGCGUUGUCCGGAAUUAUUGGGCGUAAAGAGCUCGUAGGCGGUUUGUCGCGUCUGCUGUGAAAACGCGAGGCUCAACCUCGCGCCUGCAGUCGAUACGGGCAGGCUAGAGUUCGGCAGGGGAGACUGGAAUUCCUGGUGUAGCGGUGAAAUGCGCAGAUAUCAGGAGGAACACCGGUGGCGAAGGCGGGUCUCUGGGCCGAUACUGACACUGAGGAGCGAAAGCGUGGGGAGCGAACAGG